rnacentral:lncRNA from 1 species
UGGAGGGAGAAAAAGAGUCAUUAUUAUCUCCGACAAGUCAUCAGAACCAGCGACUUAUUCAUCUUCUUAAUUAACUCAAGGUGAGAAGGAAUAAUAUGAGAAGCAACUACGGUGAAGUCUUUUCAUUGCGUUUUAUGUUUCUUUCUUUUGUUUUCUCACAUGCCUUUAGAAAGACAAGCACUACAUAAAGUUCAAUUAAGAAGAAAUAUGGAAAUUGUUACAGUUCAGCACUUCAGCCACUGAUUGCAAGGUUAGGUUGUUUCACAACACGUUAUCAGCACGAACGGCUCAAAGGGCGAUAGACCGAUGCGUUUGAACUAAUCGGGAUAAGAGGCGGAGGACCGAGGCAUGUUUUCCGUGAGGUUUUGAGUCUUUGGAAUCUACCGGAAUCCAUGGCCACCUUAAUCCUUAAACAAGGUAAAUUAUUGAGAAUUGUUUAACAGGUAAUUUUGAAAAAAAAAUUAAUAAUUUUAUUAUAUCGUUAAAGUAUCUAACUUGCAUGAUGAUUGAAUCUAUGUCUUGUUUACUGGCUAUGAAUUAUUAUUUUAUACCACUAAUUUAUUUUAUUAGUUUGUGAUAAAAUAGUUUUUCAGUUAUUUCAAUAAUGGUUGUUUGAAGUAUUAAAAUUGAAUUCAAUGUUAUAAUAUUAAAAUUUAAAACUGAAAUAUAUUCUUAGCUUUGUCUACAAAUUUGGUUUUGUUUAAUGAAUUAUUCAUUUUGAUGCAUAUCAAAAUAGAUUAUGAUGCAAUACGUGGUUUUUGUUAUUAUUAUGUCAUGAUAGCUAAAUUAUUUUGUUACUUGAAAUACAUUAUUUAUGAUUCAACUUGACUAAAUUUAAAAGUGUUACUAAUUGGAUUUAUCUUAAUAAAAUAGAGAAAGAAAUUUAUGUUACCACUCCACGUUUCGUGUAUUGAUUCACAAUUCGUAUAUAUAUGUUUUGGGGUGAUGUCUGGCAACCAACGUCUAGGAUUGAUAAUUGAAAUAGAACAAUAAUUGAACAAAUCUAUAGGAUAAAGAAGUGAAUUCAAAUAUGAUAUUUCUAUAGUGUGAAGCAAAAUUUAUUAUAAUAUUCAUAUAAUAUUAAAUAGGUUAUUUGUGAUGCAAACAAUAUCAUAAACUAAUUUGUUUGUACAUUAUGGUGGAUUAAUUAUUAGUUUUUCUUGCAUGCUUGAAUAUUCCAAAAUGCAGGAAUGAUAUUUAGAGAUUCUCAGUUUGUUGUCUCUUCAUGUUUUGAUGGUGUCAGAUUAUUAACUUGAGAAGAAUGAAUGAUUCACAAGUCAAUAUAUCCACUUUUGCAUUUAUUUGAUGAUUAUAUGUCCUUUGGAUUCUAAAUUCUUUAACAAGUAAUAAUAAAAAAAAAUCAGGGAUUCCUUGUGUGAUGAAAAGUCACAAUUUUUGUCGACUAUUGAUAUGAGAUUUAAUUUACAUCAACAUGACUGUAUAAAAAGUUUAGCUAUGAUUCUAAAUUGAUUUCAUGAUAUCUUUUGUCUUAUAUCAUGGAAUAUUAAUAUUUUAAAGGUUAACGUAUUUAAUGUUGAGAAUAUAAAGAAUGGUCUUUAAUGGGUUUUAUUGGAAAAUUAUCACUAUUUCAAUUUUGUUUAAUAACAUUACAGUAAAUAUAACUUGUUUUACAUGAUAUCUAUAAUGUUAAAAGUUACAUACUUUAACUUUGUUGUAAAUAGGUAUCUAUUGCAAUUCUAUAUGCUUUAUGGAUGCUAUUGAAUAUCUAUUACUUAAUAUUUACUUGUAACUGACAACAACAUAUCUUAUUUUAUAAAGUUUUAUCAUAAUUGGUUUUAUACGAGGAUAUGUUAUAAAAAUCAUAUAAUUUGAUUUGAUGUAUAAUUUGUAUUCUAUAUGUUGUUAUUUAUUUAUAUAGCUACUAUAAAGUAGAACAAUUA